ensembl:lncRNA
GAAUACUUGGUCCCAACACCCCCAAUAUUGGUUUAAAUCCGUGCUCUAAAAACAGAGUUUAGUGGAGAAAAAAAGACUCCCUUUUCAGCCAGAUGAGUAAGAUUUAGCAACAGCACUAACCAUGAAUAAUAAUAAAUUGAACACAGAAACAAAGGAUCCCCCCCAAAAACAUUUAUUGUUAUGUAAACUGAUUCUCAAUGGGUGAGCUUUGCAUGUGUCACUGGUUAGAGAAUGUUCAUCUUUUGUAUUAAUAUCACACACUGAAAUUUCACAAUCCACUCUUUCAGAGUUACCUCUUUACAGGAAUGUUGAAACUGAAGCACAUGGAGUGUUUGUUACAUAUGAGCACCAAAAGCAUUGGGACAGUGACAUAUUAUUUGUUGUUUUGGCUCUGUACUCCAGCACUUUGGAUUUGAAAUUAUACAAAGACAGUCAGCUUUAAUUUGAGAGUGUUUUCUUCAUCCAUAUCAGGUUAACUGUUUAGAAAUUAUAGCACAUUAUGUACAUAGUCCCCCCAUUUUAGGGGACCAAAAGUAUUGGGGCAAAUUCAUUUCCAUGUGUAUUAAAGUAGUCAAAUGUUUCAUAUUUGGUACCACAAACAAUUGCUGUAUUUGUUGGUUGUGUUUCAGAUGAAUACUAAUGAAUAGUAAAUAAUGUAUUAUGUCAUUUUGGAGUCACUUUUAUCAUGAACAAGAAUUGAAUAUGUUUCUAAACACUUCUAGACCAUGAUUACAGAUAGUCCUGAAUGAAUCGUGAAUAAUGAUGAGUGAGAAAGCUACAGAUGCAGAAAUAUCAUACCCCCAAGACAUGCUAACCUCUCACCAUUACAAUAACAGAGAAGGUUAGCAUUGUUGGGGGGGUGGGGGGAUAUUUGAUAUCUUUCUCACUCACAUGUACAGUACCAGUCAAAAGUUUGGACACACCUACUCAGUCAAGGGUCUUUCUUUAGUUUUACUAUUUUCUACAUUGUAGAAUAAUAGUAAAGACAUCAAAACUAUGAAAUAACAGAUACAGAAUUAUAUAAUAACCAAAAAAGUGUUAAACAAAUCAAUAUAUAUUUUAGAUUUUAGAUUCUUCAAAGUAGCCACUCUUUGCCUUGAUGACAGCUUUGCACACUCUUGGCAUUCUCUCAACAAGUUUUGAUGUCUUCACUAUUAUUCCACAAUGUAGAAAAUAGUCAAAAUAAAGAAAAACCCUUGAAUGAGUAGGUGUGUACAAACUUUUGACUGGUACUGUAUUAUCUACCAGAUCUCACAGUCUCAAUCGUUAAAAUUAUUUUUAUUUAACCUUUAUUUAAGUUAGUUAGGAACAAAUUCUUAUUUACAAUGACGGCCUACCCCGGACAAACCCUCCCCUAACCCGGACAGCGCUAAGCCAAUUGUGCGCCACCCUAUGGGACUCCCGAUCAUGGCCGGUUGUGAUCUGUAGUGAUGCCUCUAGCACUGAGACAGCUCCUUAGACUGCUGCACCACUCGGGAGACAAGUAAGAGUUUAGGUUUGGGAUAGGCUUAAAACAAAAAUAUAAAAAAUGAAUUUCUAUCGCUGGAUUCAAACUUGCAACCUUCGGAAUCAGAGGCAGAUUCUUGCAUGGGAGGUUGGCAUUUUUUUGGUCUAACUUUCUCACUCAUAUAUGUAGCUUCUAGCUCUCACAGUCUCACAUCAGAAUUAGAAGUUCAUUCAUGUUUCUCAAACGUCAAAUUUCAAAGUUGUUCCAAAACGUCAAAUUUCAAAGUGUAUAAGAAUAAGUUAAGGCAUUAACUCUAAAAUGUUAAGGUUAGUGUUAAGUUCAGGCAUUAACUCUGAAUGGUUAAGGUAAGAGUUAAGGUUUGCGAUAGUCUUAAAACAAAAAAUAUGAAAAACAACUUUCUAUUACUGGAUUCAAACUUGCAAUCUUUGGAAUCAGAGGCAGAUACAACGCCAUAACUAAAUCGAAACCUACUUGAAGAUAACACUGUUGCCCCUUGUGGCUGGUUUCCACGUCAUCUCCCAAUUGUCCUCAGACAUGGAUGGAUGUCAAAUACUGACUUGUAUCACGGGUGAUCCGGCUGAAAUAUAUACACUCCCCUCCUCAUUUAUUUGAACAGUGAAGCAAUUAAUUUUUUUUUUUUUUACAUUUGGCUCUUUCCUCAAGCAUUUUGAAUUUGAGAUCAAAUGUUUCAUAUGAGGGUAUUUUCAUACAUAUCUGUUUAACCGCUGAAAAUGAAAACACUAUGUAUCUAGUGCCCUCAUUUGAAGAAUUAUUUGCAUUUGGAAAAAUUCACUAAUAGUGUAUUAAAGUAGUCAAAAGUUAAGUAUAUGGUCCCAUAUUCCUAGCACGCAAUGACUACAUCAAACGAUUGACUCUACAAACUUGUUGGAUCCAUUUGAAGUUUGUUUUAAUUGUGGUUUGGAUAAUGUUUUUCCCAAUAGGAACUGAAUGGUGAAUAAUGUAUUGUGUCAUUUUGGCGUCACUUUUAUUGUAAAUAAGAAUAGAAGAUGUUUCUGAACACUCAUGAACAAAUUAUGAAUAUGGGACCAAAUACUAAGCUUUUGACUACUUUAAUAGACUUUAAGUGAAUUUGUCCAAAUACUUCUGACUGGGGGGAGUAGAUAGAUAUUGUUUUUUCAUUUUUAAACAGUGAAACAGAUGCAAUGGGUAUCGUAAGUCUUUUUUCACAUUGUUGCGUUACAAAGUGGGAUUGAUAUAGAUUGAAUUUAGAUUUUUUUUGUGUCAUUGAUCUACACACUCUGUGUGAAAUAAUAGAGGUUGAAAUUAUUUUUUAAGGACUACCGCUUCCUCUGUCACCCAUACAUACAACAUCUAUCUGUAAGGUCCCUCAGUCAAAUAUUGAACUUGAAGCACAGUUUCAACUACAAAGACCAGGGAAAAGCCUCAUAAAGAGGGUCAGUGAUUGGUAGAUGGGUAAAAAUAAUAAAUCAGACAUUGAAUAUCUCUUUAAAAAUGGUCAAAAUAAUAGUUAUGCUAUUGAUGAUGUAUUAAACCACACAAACACAUGAGAUACAUUUGUCCUUAUGAACUGAGAUGCAGGACAGGAAGGAAACUCAGGGAUGUCACCAUGAGGGCAAUGUUGAUUUUAAAACAGCUACAGAGUUCAAUGACUGUGAUGGGAGAAAACUGUGGACAGAUCAACAACAUUGUAGUGACUCCACAAUAAUGACCUCAAAGACAGAGUAAAACAAAUAAUACAAAUAUACAGAAUAAAAGUAUUCCAAAACAUGCAUCCUGCAUGUUCAAUACUGCAAAAUACUGCAAAAAAAUACACGUUUUGGCCUAAAUGCAAAGUCUUAUGUUUGGGAAAAUCCAACACAACACAUCACUGAGGAACUGCCUCCUUAUUUUCAAGCAUGGUGGUGGCUGCAUCAUGAAAUGGUUAUGCUUGACAACUGCAAAGACUGGGGAGUUUUUCAGGAUAAAAAUUAAUGGGAUAGAGCUAAGCUCAGGCAAAAUUCUAAAGGAAACCUUUAUCAGUCUGCUUUACACCAGACACUGGGAGAGGAAUUCAUAUUUCUGCAGGACAAUAACCUACAACACAAGGUGAAAUCUACACUAUAGUUGCUUACCAUGAAGACAAUGAAUAUUCCUGAGCGGCCAACUUACAGUUUUGACUUAAAUCUGCUUGAAAAUAUAUGGCAAGACUUUAAAGUGGCUGUUCAGCCAUGAUGCCAAACUCCUUGACAGAGCUUGAAUAUUUUUAUUUUAAUAAUGGACAAUCCAGGUGUACAAAGCUGUUAGAGACUUAUCCAUGAAGACUCAUACCUCUAAUGACUGCCAAAAGUGUUUCUAACAUGUAUUUACUCAGUGGGGUGAAUACUUAUCUAAUCAAGGUGUUUUAUUUUGUAUUAAUCUUUAAAAUGUAAAAAGGUACUUGCACAUCUGAGCUAUCCUUGUUGCAGGUGCAUUUCAACAACUGAAUAACAUCCCUUGAUAAAGAUCAACUGCCAUGUCUAAAAACAUGUUUUUAGAAAUGUUUGGAAAUGUAUUGAAAAUGUAAUACAGAAAUAUCUAAUUUACAUAAUUAUUCACACCCCUAAGUCAAUACAUGUUAGAAUCACCUUUGGCAGUGAUUACAGCUGUGAGUCUUUCUAGGUAAGUCUCUAAGUGCUUUGCAAACACGGAUUGUACAAUAUUUGCUCAUUUGCACAAAAAUUCUUCAAGCUCUGUCAAGUUGGUUGUUGAUGAUUGCUAGACAGCCAUUUUGAAGUCUUGCCAUAGAUUUUCAAGCCGAUUAAAGUCAAAACUGUAACUAGGCCACUCAGGAGCAUUCAACGUCGUCUUGGUAAGCAAUUCCAAUGUAUAUUUGGCCUUGUGUUUUAGGUUAUUGUCCUGCUGAAAGAUGAAUUUGUCUGCCAGUGUCUGUUGGAAAGCAGACUGAACCAGGUUUUCCUCUAGGAUUUUGCCUGUGCUUAGCUUUAUUCCAUUUAUUUUUAUAAAAAAAAAAAGUCCUAUUACUUGAUGACAAGCAUACCGAUGACAAGCAUACCCAUAACAUGAUGCAGCCACCACUAUGCUUGAAAAUAUGAAGAGUGGUACUUAGUGAUGUGUUGUGUUGGAUUUGCACCAAACAUAACGCUUUCUAUUCAGGACGAAAAAUGUAUUUCUUUGCCAAGUUUUGCAGUUUUACUUUCGUGCCUUAUUGCAAACAGGAUGCAUGUUUUGGAAUAUUUUUUUUCUGUACAGGCUUCC